ACGCUCGACACCUACGGGAGGCGGCAGUGGGGAAUAUUGCACAAUGGGGGAAACCCUGAUGCAGCGACGCCGCGUGAAGGAAGAAGUAUCUCGGUAUGUAAACUUCUAUCAGCAGGGAAGAAAGUGACGGUACCUGACUAAGAAGCCCCGGCUAACUACGUGGCAGCAGCCGCGGUAAUCUGAGCGGGCUGGCAAGGC
rnacentral:rRNA from 1 species